rnacentral:rRNA from 1 species
AUACGGAGGAUCCGAGCGUUAUCCGGAUUUAUUGGGUUUAAAGGGUGCGCAGGCGGCCAUUUAAGUCAGCGGUUAAAUCGUGGGGCUCAACCCCAUUCUGCCGUUGAUACUGGGUGGCUUGAUUGCGGUCGAGGUUGGCGGAAUUCCUGGUGUAGCGGUGAAAUGCGUAGAUAUGACGAAGAACACCGAUUGCGUAGGCAGCUGACCAGACCGCAAAUGACGCUCAUGCACGAAAGUGCGGGGAUCGAACAGGAUUAGAUACCCUGGUAGUCCGCACAGUAAACGAUGAAUACUUGUUUUCGGCGAUAUAAUGUCGGAGGCAAAGCGAAAGCGAUAAGUAUUCCACCUGGGGAGUACGCCGGCAACGGUGAAACUCAAAUGAAUUGACGGGG